GACGAACGCUGGCGGCGUGCCUAAUACAUGCCAGUAGAACGCUGAAGGAGGAGCUUGCUUCUCUGGAUGAGUUGCGAACGGGUGAGUAACGCGUAGGUAACCUGCCUGGUAGCGGGGGAUAACUAUUGGAAACGAUAGCUAAUACCGCAUAAGAGUAGAUGCUGCAUGACAUUUGCUUAAAAGGUGCAAUUGCAUCACUACCAGAUGGACCUGCGUUGUAUUAGCUAGUUGGUGAGGUAACGGCUCACCAAGGCGACGAUACAUAGCCGACCUGAGAGGGUGAUCGGCCACACUGGGACUGAGACACGGCCCAGACUCCUACGGGAGGCAGCAGUAGGGAAUCUUCGGCAAUGGACGGAAGUCUGACCGAGCAACGCCGCGUGAGUGAAGAAGGUUUUCGGAUCGUAAAGCUCUGUUGUAAGAGAAGAACGGGUGUGAGAGUGGAAAGUUCACACUGUGACGGUAGCUUACCAGAAAGGGACGGCUAACUACGUG
rnacentral:rRNA from 1 species